rnacentral:rRNA from 1 species
UACAUGGGGUGCAAACGUUGCUCGGAAUUAUUGGGCGUAAAGCGCACGUAGGCGGUUUGUUAAGUCGGAUGUGAAAUCCCUCGGCUCAACUGAGGAAGUGCAUCCGAAACUGGCAAGCUUGAGUACGAAAGAGGGUCGCGGAAUUCCCGGUGUAGAGGUGAAAUGCGUAGAGAUCGGGAGGAACAUCAGUGGCGAAGGCGGCCAUCUGGGACAACACUGACGCUGAGGCACGAAAGCGUGGGGAGCAAACAGG